UACGGAGGGUGCAAGCGUUAUCCGGAUUCACUGGGUUUAAAGGGUGCGUAGGCGGGCAGGUAAGCCCGUGGUGAAAUCUCCAAGCUUAACUUGGAAACUGCCGUGGAUACUAUUUGUCUUGAAUAUAGUGGAGGUGAGCGGAAUAUGUCAUGUAGCGGUGAAAUGCUUAGAUAUGACAUAGAACACCCAUUGCGAAGGCAGCUCGCUACACUAUUAUUGACGCUGAGGCACGAAAGCGUGGGGAUCAAACAGG
rnacentral:rRNA from 1 species